UAUUCUGCCCCACGGGGAAGGAUGAGAAGCUUCGACUAAGGUUCGACUCGAGCGNNAGAACGUUGCCGCAGGCAACGGCCCGAAGGGCGAGGAGCGAUAGCGACGAGUUAUCCUUCCCCCACCACCA
rnacentral:sRNA from 1 species